UCCGUAGGUGAACCUGCGGAAGGAUCAUUAGAGAUUGGCCUCUGGCCGUGUCUAUUCCACACACACACUGUGAACUGUAUGUUUUGGGGUUCCCGGGCCCCAGGCGCAAAACACCAAAACUUUAGUGUAAUGAAUGUAAAUCGUCGAAACAAAAACAAAACUUUCAACAACGGAUCUCUUGGCUCUCGCAUCGAUGAAGAACGCAGCGAAAUGUGAUAAGUAAUGUGAAUUGCAGAAUUCAGUGAAUCAUCGAAUCUUUGAACGCACCUUGCGCCUCUUGGUAUUCCGAGAGGCAUGCCUGUUUGAGUGUCUUAUGAAAUCAAUCCCCAUGGGUUUUCCUGUUGGUGGACUUGGACUUGGGUGACUGCCGACUGGCUCGCCUCAAAGGCGUUAGUGGGACAGGAUUGCCUAUGGCCCGACGUGAUGAGUUUCGUCAGGCCUGGCUCCCUUGUGUCUGCUCAUAACCCGCCCCCCCGGGGCGAUACUUUAUGCUAGACCUCAAAUCAGGUAGGACCACCCGCUGAACUUAAGCAUAUCAAUAAGCGGAGGA
rnacentral:rRNA from 1 species